rnacentral:lncRNA from 1 species
UAACUUGAAAAUUUGGAGUCAAAUUUUAUUUAUGAACUUUGGAAAGAAGUUACAAUCUUCGGAUAUUUUUUAAUUACAAAUAAAAACUCAUUUGAUUCUUCUCUUUGAUGGAGCUUCGAUCCAAGAGUCGUCUAGAAUUGAUCUUAGAAGGAUGCAAUUUGUUUAAAGGGUUGUUGAGGCUUGAUCUUAAAGUUGAGUUUGGCGAGAUGUUUGCUAGAGAAUUUAAUUUGGAUUUGGAUUUGGAUUCAAUGGUCAUUGAGACUAAAUGUUGAAUCAAUGAUGUUCGCUUCAAGGGUUAUCAAAACUUGAUCUUGAAAACAGGUUUAAACCUUAUUUCUUCAAUUGAACCAGAUUGAAAGGCAUCUUUCUUCAAAAAUGACUUUUGACCCCCUUUCCAUAGUUGAACUGGAUUGGAAGACGACUUUCUUCAAAAAUGAUAUGCCAUUUUCAGAAUUUCUUCAAGCUCUUUAGUUUCUUCAAAGAUUUUUAUGGAGAAUUUCUAGAGUUCUUAAACUUGUGAAUGUGACGAAUGGCUUGGAGGUGACUUCCUUUUAUAAGAACUCCCCCCUCAAAAAAAAAAACAAUGAAAGAAAAAAAAUGCAGAGAAGAAGAAGAAGAAAAUAAGGUUUCUGAAGUUGCAAAGGAGUCCUAUUUAUUAGUACCUAGGCAGGAAACUAAAGCAACAUUCCAAAAGAAACAAUGGUAAUAAAGUAACAACGUAUGUUUGAAAAAAAAAUCCAAUCAAAGAUAAAACACAUGUUUAGGAGCAAUUAACGUAGAAGCAUAAUGAUUAGAGUAAUAAUCAUGAUGCUCUCAAAUCUAUUCAAGCAUUGUUAGAACUUCCACGAGCCUCACUAAAGAUUUUACUCUACCCUAGUCACUUAUAACAUACCUUUUGUCUAAGGAAUAAUUGUUAUUGCAAUUCUCAAAAGAUGGGGAAGAGUUGUUUUCAACAUCCAUCAUUAAAUCACUCCUCUAAGUUUGACGUUGCUUUGACGAGUCUCUUCACAUCGGCUCAAACAGUAUUCACAACUAACAAUUAGCCUCUCUAUCGCUUGCACAUAUGAAGUAGAGCAUUCGGUGGUUGAACCUGUGCCAAGUUAACCUCUUUUUAUAAAUAUUAUUCUUUCAAUAUAAAGAAGGAAAAAGAGAGAUCUAUCAUAUAAUCCUCACUCUACUCAAAUACCAUAUUUGGAUUUCCAUUCUUAGUGGCUCUCCAUACCACUACAAUAUGAA